UGUUGUUGUUGUUGGAGGGAUUAAUCUUUCUGAUGCCCACCCUACAUGACUUGACUUGCCCCGGACAAAGGAGCUGCACUGCCUAUAAGCACAGUGACUGCGAGCUACACAAGAAGAAGAGCCCAGAAGAGCGAGACCAUCAAGACUGCAACGACGUAGAAUCUCCAUCUCUGCCCUCACUCCAUCACUCGCUCAACUCCACGCCUCAGUUGUUUAUUCAUCGUGGGGAACGGCAGAGCGGGGAUUUUGGACAGCUGAGAUUAAACGGACCUGAGGUCUUAAACCCUAAA